rnacentral:rRNA from 1 species
AAUUUUGCACAAUGGACGAAAGUCUGAUGCAGCGACGCGCGUGGGGGAUGAAUGCCUUCGGGUUGUAAACCCCUUUCAGGAGGGACGAAGCGAAAGUGACGGUACCUUCAGAAGAAGCCCCGGCCAACUACGUGCCAGCAGCCGCGGUAAUACGUAGGGGGCGAACGUUGUCCGGAUUUAUUGGGCGUAAAGAGCUCGUAGGCGGCUCAGCAAGUCGGCCGUGAAAACCCGGGGCUCAACCCCGGGACGCCGGUCGAAACUGCUGUGGCUAGGGUUCGGUAGAGGAGAGUGGAAUUCCCGGUGUAGCGGUGAAAUGCGCAGAUAUCGGGAGGAACACCAGUAGCGAAGGCGGCUCUCUGGGCCGAUACCGACGCUGAGGAGCGAAAGCUAGGGGAGCAAACAGGAUUAGAUACCCUGGUAGUCCUAGCCGUAAACGUUGGGCACUAGGUGUGGCGGACUCAUUGACGUCUGCCGUGCCGCAGCUAACGCAUUAAGUGCCCCGCCUGGGGAGUACGGUCGCAAGGCUA